UACAUUUUGCACUUUUAUUAUAGUUACGAUGAAACGCUGUAAAUUAAUUAGGUUUAUGUAUGAAAACCAUGGAACUAGUACAAAUGCCAAAGAACAUAAAGAUAAAGAUAGUUUAUUAUUCAAGUAGGCAUAUUACAAAUCGCUUAUGAACGACAAAUAAAGCUACCGGCUUCUACCCUACACCUCUAAUCCGAGAAAAUUUUAAUCCCUCCUCAAUUGGAGGAGGGUAACCCAAUAUAGACCGGCAAGAAACUCGGAUAUAAUACACCCAGUACCGGAUAUAAUGCACCCAGACCAGUCAAUUGAUGUAGGUAGGACAGGUACCAAUCUAUCACAUAGGCGGUUUUGUAUUGUAAGAUUGUUAGUAAAGACUUAGUGGAAACGAAUUUCGUAACAUCGUAGUAAAACAAGAAACGUACAAACUAAAUUGAAUUGGUAUUGUUACACAAUAAAUUUGAUGUUAUAUUAUUAUAUAAAAUGUAAGAGAGUUGGUGCGUUUAAAGAUUGCCUUUUGUGCAUAACAAAUUUCUAACGUAUUACCAUGCUACACGUAUGAAAGUUUGUUGCCCAAUAUCGCAAAAAUGGCUAAACGCGUGUGGAUCCGAUUGGGUAGGUACAUAGAGAUAGUUGCUCUAUACGGACGCAGACAUGCGUAAAAGCGAGUAUAUUCAUUUACCACCUACUGAUAAAUAAAACCACGACUUGGUGCGUGGAGCAUUUUCUUUGAAAAAUACCAUGGCUUACAUGUCGACUACUAUAUUAAUAUGUUUACUUCAAUUUUUUCAAGUAUUCAGUAACCCUUACUUUAUGAAUGAUAUAGGCGUAUUAAAGCGACGACGUGUGAUACCCCUAAAAGACAUAAACGGAAGACGCAACGAUAAUGGCGUAAAAAACUACAGAAUUACAUUUGAAACCCAAGAAUAUGAAGAUACUAAUAGGCACGAUGUGCGAAGAGCGGCUAAUCCGGAUGAUGUUAUUGAAGAACAGAUCCGUUGGUUACAUUUUGGCAAUGAGGACGGCAUGCGAGUCGAAAUAGGGUAAAAAGUUCUAUCAGCACAUAUUAAUUUCUUAAUUGCUGCACAAACUUCAUGUUUCUGGAAUAAAAUUCUAUAUAAAUUAUUAUGACAACAAGCGCACCAUCAUUUUCAACAAAGAGUUUUGAGUCUAUGAAAAUCAUGAAUAACACGCUCUCUGAAUA